rnacentral:rRNA from 1 species
GAUGAACGCUGGCGGCGUGCUUAACACAUGCAAGUCGAGCGAGAAGUUUUGAAAAGAUUCUUCGGAUGAAAUUUAAAAUGGAAAGCGGCGGACGGGUGAGUAACGCGUAGGCAACCUGCCCCAUACAAAGGGAUAGCAUUUGGAAACGAAUAUUAAUACCUUAUGAAACUUAACUAGUGCAUGCUAGGUAGGUCAAAGAUUUAUCGGUAUGGGAUGGGCCAGCGUCUGAUUAGCUAGUUGGUGAGGUAACGGCUCACCAAGGCGACGAUCAGUAGCCGACCUGAGAGGGUGAACGGCCACAUUGGAACUGAGACACGGUCCAAACUCCUACGGGAGGCAGCAGUGGGGAAUAUUGCACAAUGGGGGAAACCCUGAUGCAGCAACGCCGCGUGAACGAUGAAGGCCUUUGGGUCGUAAAGUUCUGUUCUAGGUGAUGAAAACUGACAGUAACCUAGGAGAAAGCCCCGGCUAACUCCGUG